GAUGAACGCUAGUGGCAGGCCUAACACAUGCAAGUCGAGGGGUAGAGGAAGCUUGCUUCCUUGAGACCGGCGCACGGGUGCGUAACGCGUAUGCAAUCUACCUUUUACAGAGGGAUAGCCCAGAGAAAUUUGAAUUAAUACCUCAUAGUAUAUAUCAUUCGCAUGUUUUGUAUAUUAAAGUUCCAACGGUAAAAGAUGAGCAUGCGUCCCAUUGGUUAGUUGGUAAGGUAACGGCUUACCAAGACGAUGAUGGGUAGGGGUCCUGAGAGGGAGAUCCCCCACACUGGUACUGAGACACGGACCAGACUCCUACGGGAGGCAGCAGUGAGGAAUAUUGGUCAAUGGACGCAAGUCUGAACCAGCCAGGCCGCGUGCAGGAAGACGGUCCUAUGGAUUGUAAACUGCUUUUGUACGGGAAGAAACACUCCUACGUGUAGGAGCCUGACGGUACCGUAAGAAUAAGGAUCGGCUAACUCCGUGCCAGCCGCCGCAGUAACAC
rnacentral:rRNA from 1 species